rnacentral:rRNA from 1 species
AUUGAACGCUGGCGGCAGGCUUAACACAUGCAAGUCGAGCGGAGAUGAGGUGCUUGCACCUUAUCUUAGCGGCGGACGGGUGAGUAAUGCUUAGGAAUCUGCCUAUUAGUGGGGGACAACAUUCCGAAAGGAAUGCUAAUACCGCCUACGUCCUACGGGAGAAAGCAGGGGAUCUUCGGACCUUGCGCUAAUAGAUGAGCCUAAGUCGGAUUAGCUAGUUGGUGGGGUAAAGGCCUACCAAGGCGACGAUCUGUAGCGGGUCUGAGAGGAUGAUCCGCCACGCUGGGACUGAGACACGGCCCAGACUCCUACGGGAGGCAGCAGUGGGGAAUAUUGGACAAUGGGGGAAACCCUGAUCCAGCCAUGCCGCGUGUGUGAAGAAGGCCUUAUGGUUGUAAAGCACUUUAAGCGAGGAGGAGGCUACUGAGACUAAUACUCUUGGAUAGUGGACGUUACUCGCAGAAUAAGCACCGGCUAACUCUGUGCCAGCAGCCGCGGUAACAC